UACGUAGGGUGCGAGCGUUUAAUCGGAAUUACUGGGCGUAAAGUGUGCGCAGGCGGCGUUGCAAGUCGAGUGUGAAAUCCCCGAGCUUAACUUGGGAAUUGCGCUCGAAACUACGAUGCUCGAGUAUGGCAGAGGAAGGUGGAAUUCCACGUGUAGCGGUGAAAUGCGUAGAGAUGUGGAGGAACACCGAUGGCGAAGGCAGC
rnacentral:rRNA from 1 species